rnacentral:rRNA from 1 species
GGUUAAGCGACUAAGCGUACACGGUGGAUGCCCUGGCAGUCAGAGGCGAUGAAGGACGUGCUAAUCUGCGAUAAGCGUCGGUAAGGUGAUAUGAACCGUUAUAACCGGCGAUUUCCGAAUGGGGAAACCCAGUGUGAUUCGUCACACUAUCAUUAACUGAAUCCAUAGGUUAAUGAGGCGAACCGGGGGAACUGAAACAUCUAAGUACCCCGAGGAAAAGAAAUCAACCGAGAUUCCCCCAGUAGCGGCGAGCGAACGGGGAGCAGCCCAGAGCCUGAAUCAGUGUGUGUGUUAGUGGAAGUGUCUGGAAAGGCGCGCGAUACAGGGUGACAGCCCCGUACACAAAAAUGCACAUGCUGUGAGCUCGAUGAGUAGGGCGGGACACGUGGUAUCCUGUCUGAAUAUGGGGGGACCAUCCUCCAAGGCUAAAUACUCCUGACUGACCGAUAGUGAACCAGUACCGUGAGGGAAAGGCGAAAAGAACCCCGGCGAGGGGAGUGAAAAAGAACCUGAAACCGUGUACGUACAAGCAGUGGGAGCACGCUUAGGCGUGUGACUGCGUACCUUUUGUAUAAUGGGUCAGCGACUUAUAUUCUGUAGCAAGGUUAACCGAAUAGGGGAGCCGAAGGGAAACCGAGUCUUAACUGGGCGUUAAGUUGCAGGGUAUAGACCCGAAACCCGGUGAUCUAGCCAUGGGCAGGUUGAAGGUUGGGUAACACUAACUGGAGGACCGAACCGACUAAUGUUGAAAAAUUAGCGGAUGACUUGUGGCUGGGGGUGAAAGGCCAAUCAAACCGGGAGAUAGCUGGUUCUCCCCGAAAGCUAUUUAGGUAGCGCCUCGUGAAUUCAUCUCCGGGGGUAGAGCACUGUUUCGGCAAGGGGGUCAUCCCGACUUACCAACCCGAUGCAAACUGCGAAUACCGGAGAAUGUUAUCACGGGAGACACACGGCGGGUGCUAACGUCCGUCGUGAAGAGGGAAACAACCCAGACCGCCAGCUAAGGUCCCAAAGUCAUGGUUAAGUGGGAAACGAUGUGGGAAGGCCCAGACAGCCAGGAUGUUGGCUUAGAAGCAGCCAUCAUUUAAAGAAAGCGUAAUAGCUCACUGGUCGAGUCGGCCUGCGCGGAAGAUGUAACGGGGCUAAACCAUGCAC